GACGAACGCUGGAGGCGUGCUUAACACAUGCAAGUCGAACGAUGAAAUGGAGCUUGCUCCAUGGAUUAGUGGCGAACGGGUGAGUAACACGUGAAUAACCUGCCCUUAAUUUUGGAAUAACCCAGGGAAACCUGGGCUAAUACCGGAUAAGUAAACCUGUGGCAUCACAUGGUUUUGGAUAGUUUUUCGAUUAAGGAUGGAUUCGCGGCCUAUCAGCUUGUUGGUGAGGUAAUGGCUCACCAAGGCGACGACGGGUAGCCGGCCUGAGAGGGUGAACGGCCACACUGGGACUGAGACACGGCCCAGACUCCUACGGGAGGCAGCAGUGGGGAAUAUUGCGCAAUGGACGAAAGUCUGACGCAGCGACGCCUCGUGAGGGACGAAGGUCUUCGGAUUGUAAACCUCUUUCGGCAGGGACGAAGCGAAAGUGACGGUACCUGCAGAAGAAGCACCGGCUAACUAUGUGCCAGCCGCCGCCGUAA
rnacentral:rRNA from 1 species